rnacentral:rRNA from 1 species
CCCGCUGAACUUAAGCAUAUCAAUAAGCGGAGGAAAAGAAACCAACAGGGAUUGCCUUAGUAACGGCGAGUGAAGCGGCAAAAGCUCAAAUUUGAAAUCGGCCUCCAGGUCGAGUUGUAAUUUGUAGAUUGUAUCUUGAGAG